GCGAGUUUAGCUCAGUUGGGAGAGCGUCAGACUGAAGAUCUGAAGGUCAUGUGUUCGAUCCACAUAAACCGCA
rnacentral:tRNA from 5 species